CAAGCUAGGGGAGCCUACACUCUCUAACUACCUAUACUACGCCCCCAUUGAUUGGAAACCCUCGGGGAAAAUGAUCCCAUAAACAAAGGAAUUAUACAGUACGAAAUAGCAAAAAAACAGACUAAUUCGAUUCUAAAAAAUCGAUAAUAGAUAUUUUAUUCUGCUCAAAUUGUCCCGACAAGGAGAGAUAUUCAAUAUUUGAAUCAGAUUGGAUUUCAUAGUAUACCAAUGUGAGCCAAACUAUUACUAUUUCAUCUAACUUGAAUAACCAAGGACUGAAUUUGAC
rnacentral:lncRNA from 1 species